AAUUACAGUAAAUUAAAAUUUGGAAUAUAUUUUUUUUUUUGUAAAAUAUAAAAUUUAAUCAAUAUAGAAUGCAAUUGGAAUGGUUUGCCUGCAGAUGAUAUAGUAACUUCCUAAGGGAUAAUAGGAAACCAAUAUGCUUAAUGGUAAAUGGUAGUAUGCACAUGUUGAAGAGUUGUUGUUUGCAUUUGCACAUGUGUUGUAUGCUGAUGAUACUAUUCUCUCCAAGAAUGAAAAAGGUUUGAGGAUGCUUAUUGCACAAUAAAAUGAAGCAUGGCAGAGGAAACAUAAAAAUAAAUGCAAAGAUGAUGAAAAUGCUUGUAUAUGGUUAUAUGCCUAACAACUUCCAUCCUAGUAUUCAGCUUCUUAGCCAUUGUUUGAUUAUUCUGAAUUUAGAUGUAUAUAAUAAGCUAUUUUUACAAAUUUUGAGAUUUCUUCCAGGUGAUUUACAUCUGAUUUGUUCAGAAUUACUAUCUUGGAAUGUAUUGGCAAGUAAUUUCUUCACAUUAUCAUAUAUGGAUUUCAUAAAGCUAUAUCCAUGAUUCUUGCCCUAAAAUAUAAAGUUGAUCUUAGAAAAUUCAUCACACUGUCUUCUUUGCAUAAAAAUUCUGCAAAAUGAAAAGCCACCUACUUAUACUUUAAUGGAUCAUUGAACUAGGCAGGAAUAAUUAUGGAUAUAUAAUAAUUUCUUGUGAACACACUUGUUUCAUAAUGGUCCUGGGUGACCCUGAUUUGGAAAUUCAAGAAAAUGAGCAGAACUGUUUGUAUUGUUCUGCCAGUUUUAAGGCCAGUAUUCUAGGAUGCAAAGACUUCACUUAAUUCAAAUGAUCUUUUGUAAUCAUAUCAAGUAAUGUAUAAAUUGUUUGCAUAACACAAAUUUUAAUUGAAUUGUUAAAAUUAUUGAAAAUGAGGAUUCUAUGUGCCUUAGCAAAUUGAUGUUGGCUUUAAGCUAUGUUUAGACGGCGCAACUUUUCAUACAACAAGAUGCAUGCAACUAGGCAUGCAAGGCCGCAUGCCUCAAAAUGUGUUGCAAGACUAGGUGCAAGAAGGCGCAUGUGUUCCCC
rnacentral:lncRNA from 1 species